CGCUUCUCUCUCCCGCGCCUGUUGGGCGAGCAGAAGCUGCUUCUGCUCGCCACGUCGCGCGCCUCACUGGCCGGCGAAGCCCCGAGCAAGCGAAAUCCCACCCAUUCCCUCGCUCCGCUUCUCCUUUUAAGCCCGUUCACAGCCUCCCCAAGCCCUAGCCGCAUUUUCCCCAUCUCCACCAUUGCCGCCGCCACCUCCUUUCUUCCCCAACUCCGGCCGCCGUCGAUUCGCCCUCUCCGGGGUUCCCGACGAGCUCCUCCCGUCGCCGCCGUCGUUGCCUUGGAGAACCCCCGCCGCCGUCUCAUCGCGCCUCCGCCUAUCACUGCGACCGAACCGCUGGAGAACGAAACUGCCGAGCCCGUUGAAGUUGUCAAACCUGAGCCCGCUGUCGAGUACGUGGUUGAACUGGAAGAAAAUCAAGGCAAGCAGCUAAGCAUGAUAUUUUUUUUACCCGCCU